rnacentral:rRNA from 1 species
UACAGAGGGGGCAAGCGUUGUUCGGAAUUACUGGGCGUAAAGGGCGCGUAGGCGGCCUGUUAAGUCGAACGUGAAAUCCCUGGGCUCAACCCAGGAACUGCGUCCGAUACUGGCAGGCUUGAAUUCGGGAGAGGGAUGCGGAAUUCCAGGUGUAGCGGUGAAAUGCGUAGAUAUCUGGAGGAGCACCGGUGGCGAAGGCAGGUCUCUGGGCCACUACUGACGCUGAGAAGCGAAAGCAUGGGGAGCGAACAGG